ACGAACGCUGGCGGCGUGCUUAACACCUGCAAGUCGAACGGAAAGGCCCUGCUUGCAGGGUGCUCGAGUGGCGAACGGGUGAGUAACACGUGGGUGAUCUGCCCCUUACUUUGGGAUAAGCCUGGGAAACUGGGUCUAAUACUGGAUAGGACCAUGCUGUAGGUGGUGUGGUGGAAAGAUUAGUUUCGGUAAGGGAUGAGCUCGCGGCCUAUCAGCUUGUUGGUGGGGUAAUGGCCUACCAAGGCGUCGACGGGUAGCCGGCCUGAGAGGGUGGACGGCCACAUUGGGACUGAGAUACGGCCCAGACUCCUACGGGAGGCAGCAGUGGGGAAUAUUGCACAAUGGGCGCAAGCCUGAUGCAGCGACGCCGCGUGGGGGAUGACGGCCUUCGGGUUGUAAACUCCUUUCAGCCAUGACGAAGCCCUUGUGGUGACGGUAGUGGUAGAAGAAGCACCGGCUAACUACGUG
rnacentral:rRNA from 1 species